rnacentral:lncRNA from 1 species
CGCGGCAGCCUCUUCUCAUGUUCAUCGAAAAUUAAAGGUCAAAGAGGCCACUGGAGUUCAGGUAAGGGUUCAAUCUUUCUUCCUCUCCCUCUUCUCCUUCUUCCCAUGGUUUUAGACUCCUCGCCGGCCGUCAGGAUCGUCGGAAAAUCCAUAAACAAGAUGACCCCUGUUUUUGCUCUGUUCGGCCGGGACCUUUUUUCUCCCUUUUUCUGGCCACCGACGCCGCCGGUUGCGGCGUCCCAUCCCCGAGACCGGACUCCCAUCUCUCUCUCUUCCUUCCCUGAAAAUCUUGGCCACCGGCGACCGGCCA